rnacentral:rRNA from 1 species
AGUGCAGACGGUUGAUUAAGUCUGAUGUGAAAGCCCGGAGCUCAACUCCGGAAUGGCAUUGGAAACUGGUUAACUUGAGUGUUGUAGAGGUAAGUGGAACUCCAUGUGUAGCGGUGGAAUGCGUAGAUAUAUGGAAGAACACCAGUGGCGAAGGCGGCUUACUGGACAACAACUGACGUUGAGGCUCGAAAGUGUGGGUAGCAAACA